rnacentral:rRNA from 1 species
GAUGGUCAAUGGUCUAACGACUGAACCAGCAAUUUGGAAGAACGUAUAAUAAAUAAAUUAUUUAAAGUUCUAGAUAAAAUAUUUAUAAUGACUAUUUUUUAUCUAUAAGUCUUGGCCAAAUUACGUGCCAGCAGUCGCGGUAAUACGUAAAAGACGAGUGUUAUUCAUCUUUAAUCGGUUUAAAGGGUACCUAGACGGAAAAUCAAGCUUAAUUAAACUAAGGACUAGUUUUCUAGAGUUUGACAUGAGAAGGUACGAACUAUCAGAGGAGAGAUAAAAUUUGUUGAUACUGGUGGGACGGACAACGGCGAAGGCAAUCUUCUACUAAAAACUGACGUUGAGGGACGAAGCCUUGGGGAGCGAGAAGGAUUAGAUACCCUAGUAGUCCUUGGAGAAAAUUAUGAGUGCCAUAGACUAAAGUGAAAAAGAAGUUCUUUUAAAAGAACUUUGUAUCUGAGCCUUAAUUGGAUACAAAGGUCUCGAGUAGCAGUUUAUAAAUGAAAGUGUAAGCAUUCCACCUCAUGACUAAAGCGGCAACGCCCAAAUUGAAAUCAUUAGACCGUUUCUGAAACCAGUAGUGAAGUAUGUUAUUUAAUUCGAUAACCCGCGAAUAACCUUACCACGUUUUGAAUUUAUUAAACAAGUGUUGCACGGCUGUCUUCAGUUAAUGUCGUGAGAUUUUGGUUUGUUCCAUUAAUUAACGAAAACCCUUGUUUCAUUUUUAUAUGAAAUAGUUCACCGUUAUAUUGGAAAGAUAAAAGGGAUCAAGACAAGUCAUCAUGGCCUUAAUAAC